CCCACAGCAUGAUCAUGCUCUAUAUUCAAAGCAUCAAAGGUGUUUGAGCAGUUGAUUUUCCUUGAAUCCUCACAUAGUGCACCUGUAAAGAUUUCUGCGAUAAUCUGAUUUUCAUGGUCUGGAUUUUUCUUUUUGUUAAGUGAUGGAUGAGAUCGAGUAACCUCUGUCUACUCUCGAUCAUUUAAUUGAUUCACAGCUUGAGAACCUGAUUCUAACAGAUGCGUGGCCUCAUUCUCAUGCACAGCAGAUUUGUGCACAUCAGUAGCAGCUGCAACUCCAAAACUUGACGCAACUGUAGCACCUUUUGUAGCACUAGGAAUAUUAGCUGAUUUUUCACCCUUAGUUUUCUCAACUAGCUGCACCUCAAGACUCCUCUGUUCCCUGCUACAUCAUUUUCACGACCUGAUGCAACAGUAGGAACAACUCCCCUUGCACCAUCAUCAGCUUGGCCUGCAACAUUAUGUGUAAUCCCAGAAGACUUAGGAUUAACAUGCACAAAUUAGUUCUGUUUGUUUGAAACUUCAUAUUAAAUUGGUUACGAUCCUUGUCGCUGAAAACUCUAUUGACAUUCUUGGCUAAAUUUUGAGGUCUGCUAAACUUUUUUUGAAAUCUAACUUGACUUGUUGAAAGUUAUUUUAGUGUUCGUUUUUUAUGACUUGUAAGUGAUGUGCAAUAAUAUUUUUUUUGACAGUCUGAACUUCAGAAUCGUCAAAAAGUUUUGGAGAAACAGCAGAUGAUGCAUUUAGGGCUGUAUUUGGAAAGGAGCAGCUUGGUCGGGUUAGAUGCUAUGGUAGAUCGGUGACGACAAGCUCUCUGAAAAAAGAUGAAGAAAUCACCAAGCUUAAACAAAAGCAUGCCAAUGAAAUAACUUCUCUCAAGGAAGAAAUGAAGGAAAUGAUGAGAGAAGAAAUGCGAUGUUUUUUUAGUCAAUUUGUGAAAAACAACCCUGGACUGGAUUUUCAUGAUAUACAAGGGUGUGUUGGAUCUAAUAUUCCUUCACCAGUUGAUGCAAGUAGUGCACGAGCUAUGAGAGGCCAAAAUCUACCACAUUCUUCUGGCUCAACUCACGCCCCAAGUCUUGAAAAGGAAAAAAACGGGUGAUGCAAUUGGAUACGGAGGUCACAAAUCAAUUUGAUCCAUUAAAGUGAAUGGUGAAAACCUUUUGAACAAUUGGGAUGUUUAUUUUUAUUGAUUCUAUAAAUAUGAAUACAUUUGGUUUUGUAGAGGUCUUUGCUAGUGAACUCUUGAACCAACAGUGCUUUAUUACUAUAGACAGUACACAAAGAAUGUUUCUUUGUUGAAAUUUAUUUUAAGUAUAUGCAUUUGAAUUAUUUUUA